CUGGGAGGACCAUCUCCUAAGGCUAAAUACUCUCUAGUGACCGAUAGUGAACCAGUACCGUGAGGGAAAGGUGAAAAGCACCCCGGAAGGGGAGUGAAAUAGAACCUGAAACCGUGUGCUUACAAGUAGUCAGAGCCCGUUAAUGGGUGAUGGCGUGCCUUUUGUAGAAUGAACCGGCGAGUUACGAUUUGAUGCAAGGUUAAGCAGUAAAUGUGGAGCCGUAGCGAAAGCGAGUCUGAAUAGGGCGUUUAGUAUUUGGUCGUAGACCCGAAACCAGGUGAUCUACCCUUGGUCAGGUUGAAGUUCAGGUAACACUGAAUGGAGGACCGAACCGACUUACGUUGAAAAGUGAGCGGAUGAACUGAGGGUAGCGGAGAAAUUCCAAUCGAACCUGGAGAUAGCUGGUUCUCUCCGAAAUAGCUUUAGGGCUAGCCUCAAGU
rnacentral:rRNA from 1 species